rnacentral:lncRNA from 1 species
CCAAUCAGAAUCUCUCCCCAAGCUCUAGUUUCAGGAUGCUUUAAGACAAGGGUUUCCAACCCCCAGGCCAUGGACUGGUACCAGUCCCUGGCCUGUUAGGAACUGGGCUGCACAGCAGGAAGUGAGCGGCAGGUGAGCAAGUGAAGCUUCAUCUGUAUUUGCAGCUGCUCCCCAUCACUUGAAUUAUUGCCUGAGCUGCACCUCUUGUCAGAUCAGUGGUGGCAUUAGAUUCUCAUAGGAGGGCAAACCCUAUUGUGAACUGCACGUGUGAGGGAUCCAGGUUGUGGUUCUUAUGAGAAUCUAAUGCCUGAAGAUCUGUCACUGUCUCCCAUUACCCCCACAUGGGACCGUCUAGUUGCAGGAAAACAUGCUCACGGCUCCCACUGAUUCUACAUGAUGAUGAAGACACCGAGUCCCAAAAAGGGCACACAGGGAACGGUGCUGCCAGAAUUCCAACCCACAUCUGUCUGCCUCCAGAACACACCACUUUCUCAGAGUCCUGACGCAUCAGGUACCCAGGGUCACGUGUCUUCUACACCCACAGCCUGCAAGGAGAGGCCCACACUCCCUGCCAGUCUGCAGGAUGGUUGCUGUAGUUACAGUCCCUGCGAAUCAGGGGCUGCACCUGCUCCAGGAGCUGCUGCAAGAGCAUGGAGUCACGCUCCUGCCGGCGGAUGGUGGCCAAGUAAUCGAUCUUCUCCAGCUGAAACUCGGACUGCAGAUCUUUGAUCUCCACCUCUGCUGCCCGAAGCUGAAAGCAAAGGAUGACAAGCAGAGCCUUUGAGAAGUCCCCACAUCCAACACCACCGUUCUAAAGGAUAUCAGAGAAUUGCACAAGUGACAUCUCUAAGGAGGACAACAGGCACAAACUCUCCGACUUGACAAUCCUCACUCUCCCACUGCCACAGCCCUGUGUGACGGUGUGACAAACACUGGACCUAAACAAUGGACCUAAGAGUAAGACCCACCUUGAUCUGAUCAAGGGUUCCAGAUUCUUUUGGUCUCCUGCUCAAGUCUGCCAGACCGGUCCCCCGGUCCCUCCUGAGCACAGGUGACUGCCAGCCCCAGCCAUAACCACCCUCUCCCUGAGCCCCAAGACUACCUGGUGCACAGUCUGUUUCCUCAAAGAGCAGGUACAGUCUGAUUAGUAAAGAAGGAUGUUUGAGGCAGGGCGUGGUGGCUCACACCUGUAAUCCCAGCACUUUGGAAGGCCGAAGCGGGCGGAUCACUUGAGGUCAGGAGUUUGAAACCAGCCUGGCCAACAUGGUGAAACCCCAUCUCUACUAAAAAUACAAAAAAAUUAGCCAGGUCUGCUGGCACACGCCUGUAAUCCCAGCUGUUCAGGAGGCUGAGGUAGAAUUACGUGAACCCGGGA